GGCCUGAGACAGCGAGGCCGCUGCGGAGGCUUCCGAAGCGCACGCGCCGCGCUCGCGCUGCUGUUUGAAUAGAGGUGCGGCCAAUGGCGGCCGCGCGGCUGCUAGUAAGCAAUAUACCACCGGUAUACAGUCUUGCAUUUUGCUAUAGCAAUCCAUAUAAAUCCAGAGGUGUCCAGUUGUUCCUUUUCCUGUCCUGUUCACAAAACAAUAAAUUUCCUUCAAACUCUACUGCA